rnacentral:lncRNA from 1 species
AAACCUUCCUUACCCUUUACAAAAAACCUAACCUAGACUUCAUCUUCUUAGGAAGAAGACAACAAUGGAGAACAAAAACCUACGCUCCCUUCACCUUGAAAGAACCAGUUGCCGCUACCCCUAAUCUCUGCCAAAGAAACUUGCCUCUGUCGCCUCCUCCCUUACUCCAGUUUCGCCGCUGCUCCGCUCACAACAGUUAGCCGAAAAACGACAGCCAUGAGACCACCUGAACUUCCUCUGAACACACCCUAACACCAAUAGCCGCGACCUGCUUCUUCACCUCACUCAAACAACGACCACUCUCAACACGCCCAUCAACAGCCCCGACUCCACCAUCAUCUUCAGCCACUUGAACCAAUCGCGGACGUCAAUCACCAGCAACCAAUGGUCACAAAAGAAAACAAAGAACUCAGUUUCUUCUUUCAUUUUAAGGCCCUUGUUUAGUUUUUAAGCUUAAUUUAAAUCUCAAAAAAGUACAAAAAUAUAUGCUGC